GCCCAGAUAGCUCAGUCGUUAGAGCAUGAGACUCUUAAUCUCAGGGUCGUUGGUUCGAGCCCCACGUCGGGCG
rnacentral:tRNA from 1 species